GAUGGCUUUGGUUCUGCCGUUGCUCGAAAAUCUAAGCAAAGAUAAGCAUGUAGAAAGCUUAUGAUUUCCUCGUUUGGACGAGGGUUCGAUUCCCUCCAGCUCCACUU
rnacentral:tmRNA from 1 species